rnacentral:lncRNA from 1 species
CAUAAAAUACAUGCAUCAAAACCUUAAAAUCAUGCUGUAAUGGUUUUAAGCCCAUGUAGUUUUUAGGAUAAACCCCACGUACCUCUAUUUCAAAAAAUAAUGGAUGAUUCCUGAAGCUUACGGAUUGGGGAUUCCAAAUCUCUAAUUAUCUUCUAAAACCCACGGUUGAAUCUUGAGUUAUUUGGGAAUCUUGUUUGAAACCCUAGGGAGUGUUCUUGAAGAAAAUUGAGAGAAAUAUGAGUAAUGUG